GUGGGGAAUAUUGGGCAAUGGGCGCAAGCCUGACCCAGCAACGCCGCGUGAGGGAAGAAGGUUUUCGGAUUGUAAACCUCUGUCGCAAGGGACGAAGAAGUGACGGUACCUUGUGAGGAAGCCCCGGCUAACUACGUGCCAGCAGCCGCGGUAAUACGUAGGGGGCGAGCGUUGUCCGGAAUUACUGGGCGUAAAGGGUGCGUAGGCGGUUGCUUAAGUUGGAUGUGAAAUACCCGGGCUUAACUUGGGGGGUGCAUUCAAAACUGGGCAACUAGAGUUCAGGAGAGGGAAGCGGAAUUCCUAGUGUAGCGGUGAAAUGCGUAGAUAUUAGGAGGAACACCAGUGGCGAAGGCGGCUUUCUGGACUGACACUGACGCAGAGGCACGAAAGCGUGGGGAGCAAACAGGAUUAGAUACCCCUGUAGUCC
rnacentral:rRNA from 1 species